CGGCUGAGCUGUUGGCUGGGGCGGCGGCCCGGCAGCUUGAUGGAGAUACCUCUUACUGGGCCUCUCUGAAUCCAUUUCAUCAGAUGCGUGACAUAGCCUGCUAUCUUGUUGCGGAGCUUCUUGCUGGGGAUAAUGGCGAUCUCCUUGCACACGCGCUUGUUCGUGUGGAAGUCGUUGCCCAGGCGUGUGUAGUACUUUUCUAUGAUGACCCGGGCCGCCUUCUUCACGGUUUUGGUGCAAACGCGGCACAUGUUGGCGGGUCCUUGGUAAAAGAGCUCUUUCCCUUUUUCUCAUUGGGAGUUCAGUUGUGGAAAGCCCAGAGAAGCAGGCUAUCGAUUAGCAUACAGUCACGUGUCACUUAACAACAGGAUAUGUUCUGAGAAAUGCGUCAUAGGAAGUUUCACCCUUGUGGGAACAUCACAGAGUGUCUUUACACAAACUAGAUGGGAUAGCCUACACACCUAGGCUGUAUGGUAUAGCCUGUUGCUCCUGGGCUACAAACCUGUACAGCAGGUUACUGUAGUGAAUACUGUAGGCAACUGUAACACAAUGGUAAUGAUUUGUGUAUGUAAACCCAGAAAAGUUACAGUAAAAAUACAGUAUAAAAGAAAAUAAAUGGAGCCAGGAGCAGUGGCUCAUGCCUGCAAUCCCAACAGUUUGGGAGGCCAAGGUGGGAGGCUUGUUUGAGCCCAGGAGUUUAAGACUAGCCUGGGCAACAUGGUGAAACCCCAUCUCUGAGAAAGAAAAAGAAAGAAAGAAAGAGAGAGAGAGAAAGAGAGAGAGAGAAAGAAAGAAAGGAAAGAAAGAAGAAAGAAAGAGAAAGAGAAAGAAAGAAAAAGAAAAGGAGGGAAGGAAGG
rnacentral:lncRNA from 1 species